rnacentral:rRNA from 1 species
UACGAAGGGGGGCUAGCGUUGUCCGGAAUUAUUGGGCGUAAAGAGCGUGUAGGCGGCCAGAUAAGUCCGCUGUGAAAUCUCGAGGCUCAACUUCGAGCUGUCGGUGGAAACUAUCUGGCUAGAGUCCGGAAGAGGAGAAUGGAAUUCCUGGUGUAGCGGUGAAAUGCGCAGAUAUCAGGAAGAACACCCGUGGCGAAGGCGGUUCUCUGGGACGGUACUGACGCUGAGACGCGAAAGCGUGGGGAGCGAACAGG